GCGUGCCUCUCACCUAAAAUCAGCUGCGCUCCCCGCGAUGCGGUCUGCGUACUAGCUGGAGUCACCAAGAUCACAUACAGGACCAUCGGACCUCAGAGACAGCUCACACAGAGUCACAUUGAAGAUUCGGUGGCCUCCUUUCUCGUGGCUUCCAACUAUUGCCCUGCAGACGGUUCCCAGAAGCAAGAUCCACAUCUCUGACCAUCUCCUGGACACUUACUGCCACCGACUAUGUUAUUCUCAUCUUAAAACUCAGCUGCACCACUCUGCCGUUGUAGAAUGGCGAAGGCACCUCAGACAGUAGCCGGCAGACCUCCAGCGGAGUCAUGGCCUUGGUUCUCAGGGAUAACACUUCUCAAAGGAGGAGCUGGAAUCAGCGUCCUUGUGCCCAAAACCCUGCCCAUUGCUCUUGCCUGCCAUGUUUUCUUUCUGAAGGCCUGUCAGUCUCCUACUCAAACACUUGUAAUCCAAGCUCUUACCCAGUCAUCUGGGCCUCUCCCCAAUUUUUCCACAACUGACUUCUCUGACUUUCUGUCCCGUUUCUUCCUGACACAAAUAAGAGCUCUUACUAAGCAUUUUCCAUGUACCAGGCACUAUUCUAAAUGCUUUACCUGUAUUAAUUCUAUCCUCACAGACUUAGGAAGGAGGGCGCUGUUAGGAUUCCCAUGUUGAGGAAUGAGGAAACUGAGGCAGCCCUCAUUUCCCCAGCCUGCAGUCUCUCCCCUCCCCCAUCUCCGGGCUUCACUUUUCUACCCCAACACUGCUCAGCCUCUCUCUCUCUUCCAGCGGCUCUGCUCUGACUCCCCGGAGCAUCCAGCUGUCUUUCCCCUCCCCCUAUGCAGCUUGGCACGAUGUCUGUCCUGCUUUGUGUUGCUUGUUUUGGUGCCUGUGUCCCAUCCCCAUGGUCCCAGGUGCUCCUUCCGGAGUGUUCCCCAUGCCUUUGCUCCCUGGGGGCGUCCACACAGCACGCUCACCUCCCUUCUGUCUGGUCCUUCUGCUCGGAGCUGGUAAGCAAGCACCCCACCGCACAGGGACACCUGGGCCUGAGCACGGAGCUGAGGCCAGAUGGUGACGGAGAGGACGGGGGCAGCUGACCGAUUCAGACUGCUCUGAGAGGAGCUUUCGGGUCCGGCUGAUGGUUGAGUGUGACUGAGUCCCUUGCCUGCUACACAGGGUCUCGGGCUUGCCUCCAGGCUAGGGAAGGAUUUCCUCUGGGCUCCAUGGAUCUAGGCACCCCCAGUCAGCCUCGCUCCUUCUCCUCCCCCACUUAGGCCUGACCUUCACCAAGACAAGCCUGAGAUCCAUACUCAUUUGGUUUUUUGAGAAUGAGUCUUCCUCCUCUCGCCCAUGUCGUCUCCAUGCCUGACAGAAGGUUACCUGCUCAUUUCCAGAUUCCUUUUUUCCUCUUCUAGCUUCUCUGAGUUUCCUGCCUCCGUGGAGACCUCUUCUUCCUUCUCCCCAGCCCAAUAGCCCUCUCUCCUCUCUUCUUCUUGUCCCAAGUUGCCGACCUAGGAGUGUAGAUUCUGAUCAGGGGCCUGCUCCUGGCUUGCCUGGACAGGUUACCUUCCAGCUCUGGGCCUCGUUGUUCACAUCUGUAAAAGGACGCAGCUGGACUAGACGGUGAGUGGUGUCCUGCUGAGCCUUCCAAGUCCAUUCUCCCUUUCACAGUCCUCCCCUCCUCUUCUCAGUUUUCUCUCUCAGGGGAGGCUUGCCCUAGCCCCAGGGGAGCUGUGGCUCCUGUUCUCUGUCUAAGCGACCAGCCCUGGGCCUCCUCCCCAGGCCUGGCCCCGGCUCCACUCCAUGUGGCCCGUCUGAGAGGCUGGCCCCAAGCCUGGCGGCAACUCCACAUUUCUCUGUUUUUCCUUUUUUUUCCCUCUCUUUCCCGGAGUUAACAAGAAGCAGAUGUGGCGCACGAUGGUUGGAGAGGUGGGGGGGGGGGGGGGAGGCUGGACC